ensembl:snRNA U6 U6 spliceosomal RNA
GUGCUUGCUUCGACAGCACAUAUUCUAAAACUGGAACAACACAGAGAAGAUUAGCAUGGCCCCUGCACAAAAAUGAGACACAAAUUCAUAUCUUAGAUAAUGGUGAU